UGGGGUUAGCUGGGGAGUCAGAGAAUUUGUUGCGAAUGGGAGCAUUGGAGGGGAGCAGUUUUUGCAUGGCUAGGUUCAAUUUGAGGGGGAAUCUGAGCUGCCUGUGGGUCCUCUAUAUCUGGAACCCUUAGGCAGGUGUGAAGGAUUACAGUAUGUGGUAAAAUCCUCUCAUGAUGCUGGACAAUGGCAAAGAGCCGCAAGUCCCAGCCAACCCCAUGAUCACAAGAGGAAUCAGCUGACACUCUACAGUGCGCUGUGUUGCUGAGCUAGGAUGGUUUGGAGUUUCCUUAGGACCUGGCUUGAGUUAACCUAUUUGGUAACACCUACAUGGCACAAGAUGAAAAAAUACAAUGAGAGCUGGGCAUCAACAGUAGAUCUUGUGCAUGCUAAGCAAGUUCUCUGCCACUGAACUGCACUACAGCACUCCCUGAUGGCCUUGGAAAUGGGACUCUUGCAGGCAGUCUUGUGGUCUUUGGACAUACUGAGUUGUUAGCUCUGUAUAUUUUGGACUUGCGGCUUUCAUGAUUGUGUGAGUUGCUUGGUUAUAAUAUAUAUUACAUUCACAUA